GGGGGCGGGGCCCGGAGGGAGUCUGGGAGGGCCCGAAAGUUUGCCCAAGUCGCUGGGGCGGCCGGCCGGGGUGCAAGCAGUCGGGCCGGGCUCCCACGACCCCCGCGCGGGGCGGGCCCAGGCAGGAAGUGGGCGCACUUACUGGCCCCCUCGAUCUUGUCGGCGCCCCGGCUCCACGUGAUCUGGCGCGUCUCCAGCUUGACCUGGAAGGUCUUCCGCUCGGGUCGCUGCGACUUCUUGGAGUAGAACAAAGUCAUGACGGUGCCCACCUCGAGGCUGCGGCAGAGCACCGCCAAAAUUGAGGACACCCACGGUCGCGGUGGAGCCUGUCUGACAUGUUGAGCCAGGCAGUGGGUCGGCUGCCAGGCACAGCAGGACAACUUACUGCAUUUCAGAGGAAUGAUGGUCCACAAUUUACUGAUGAGGAAACAGAGAUUCAGAGAAGUUCUACAAUUUGCCCCAAAGCCACAUAACAUGACUAGGUGGGAACUAGAACCCAAGUCGGCCUGACUCCAUGAGUUUUCUGCCUCACAGGAGAUCCACUGGCUUAGAGUUUCUCUCUCGUCGCCCAGGCUGGCGUGCAAUGGCACAAUCUUGGCUCACUGCAAUCUCCGCCUCCCGAGUUCAAGCAGUCCUGCCUCAGCCUCCUGAGUCUCUUUUGAUUUGGUGCUGUCACAGGUUGGGUUCUUUGGAUGUGGACUCUGUGACAGGAAACCAGCCAAGUAACCUUGUUAUCAUGCCGGACUUCUUUCCACUUAUGUCCUGGAGGAGGAGAAGGAACCUUGGCAUCUCUGGAAAUAACAGAGCACGAGGAUAGUGAAAUAAGAUGCCCCAAAGUGUGAAAGUGGUGAUGUUGGCAAUUUGGAUAUGCCAUACAGAAGCUGCACAGAGUGCUUUAAAUGAAAAGGUGGAAAUUAUCGACUUAAUAAAAAAAACUGUAUGGUGAAGUUGCUAAGAUCUAAGGCAGCCUGUAGAAGAAAAAUGACAUCCCAGCUGGAUACCAGAAAGAUCCUUCAGUAAUGAGGAUGGCCAAGGCUGGAAGAUGGAGAUGGAUGAGCAUCACAAGAUUCCAGAGUAAAAUAGAUCAAAGAGCAGGGAGGUACAUGGCCAAUAUGAUUUCAUCUGUCUUAAAUCCUUAAUAUCCAGUAGCCACUGUGGGACAGGUCUGCCCAUCCUUAAUUACUAUAUUAUUGGCUGGAGUUACUGACUGGUUUUUAGGUCACUGAAGCACCAAGAUUCCUGUACAGAGCUACUGAGCAAAGUACUUGUUCACAAUUUUCAGUCUAACUAAAACCUUUAAGAAAAUUUAGACUUUGAGAACUCUAAGUCUUUAGCAUAGAAUGAUGUGAAAUUACUGAUGUUAAUGUUGUGUCAUAAGAACCAAGAAGAAAGUUAAAUGAACCAAUCACAAUUCCAGAAUUCUCCAGAGGUUUAAUAAAUUCUGUAGUACCAGUUUCUCUUCCUUGCUCAUCUGUUUCCGAGCUUCCGUCUGGGCUUUGAAAUACUGGCUCAUCUGGGUAAAAUCACAUUUGCUUAGGUUGGUGAUAAUAUUCUUCUCUUCAUUAGUCAUUUCCUAGUCAAAAGAAAAUGGGGAGAUGAAAGAAAAACAACGAAAAUACACUAAUAAGUCCUUGGGUUUCUUUGCAAAUACACCCAAGCACCAUUUUUUCAGUCAAAGGUUUCUGGAAGUAGCCAAUCUCAAUUAAUGAAUUUUGAAAAAACAAAAAAAUACAGUUGUAUUACUUUAUUAUAAAAUAUGUACUUACUAAUAUUAAAAUGUUUUAAAAUGACUUAAAAAAAAAAAAAA
rnacentral:lncRNA from 1 species